AGCAGCCGCGGUAAUUCCAGCUCCAAUAGCGUAUAUUAAAGUUGUUGCAGUUAAAAAGCUCGUAGUUGAAUUUCGGGGUUCAUCCGUUGGUCGGGCUUUUUGGUCUGUACUGGCGUGAUGGAUUCCUACCUUCUGAAUAACCGGCAUGUCAUUAAUUUGGUGCGCCGGGGAAGCAGGACUGUUACCUUGAAAAAUUAGAGUGCUUAAAGCAGGCUAUUGCCUGAAUACAUUAGCAUGGAAUAAUGAAAUAGGACGGCAUGGUUCUAUUUUGUUGGUUUCUAGGAUCACCGUAAUGAUUAAUAGGGAUAGUUGGGGGCAUUAGUAUUCAAUUGUCAGAGGUGAAAUUCUUGGAUUUAUUGAAGACUAACUUCUGCGAAAGCAUUUGCCAAGGAUGUUUUCAUUAAUCAAGAACGAAAGUUAGGGGAUCGAAGACGAUCAGAUACCGUCGUAGUCUUAACCAUAAACUAAUGCCGACUAGGGAUCGGA
rnacentral:rRNA from 1 species